UACAGAGGUCCCGAGCGUUGUUCGGAUUCACUGGGCGUAAAGGGUGCGUAGGUGGUUGGGCAAGUCUGAUGUGAAAUCUCCGGGCUUAACCCGGAAAUGGCAUUGGAAACUGCCUGGCUAGAGUGUUGGAGGGGGGACUGGAAUUCCUGGUGUAGCGGUGAAAUGCGCAGAUAUCAGGAGGAACACCGGUGGCGAAGGCGGGUCUCUGGGCCGAUACUGACGCUGAGGAGCGAAAGCGUGGGGAGCGAACAGG
rnacentral:rRNA from 1 species